rnacentral:rRNA from 1 species
AGAGUUUGAUCAUGGCUCAGAACGUACGCUGGCGGCACGCCUAACACAUGCAAGUCGAACGAAGUAGUAAUACUUAGUGGCAGACGGGUGAGUAACAUGUAGGUAUCUGCCCUUUGGCCUGGAAUAACACGAGGAAACUUGUGCUAAUACCGGAUAAGUCUUUACGGAGAAAGCUUUAUGCACCAUUGGAUGAGCCUGCACUUGAUUAGUUUGUUGGUGGGGUAAUGGCCUACCAAGACUGUGAUCAAUAGCUGAUUUGAGAGGAUGAUCAGCCACAUUGGGACUGAGACACGGCCCAAACUCCUACGGGAGGCAGCAGUGGGGAAUCUUGCACAAUGGAGGAAACUCUGAUGCAGCGAUGCCGCGUGAGUGAAGAAGGCCCUUGGGUUGUAAAGCUCUUUCGUCGGGGAAGAAAAUGACUGUACCCGAAUAAGAAGGUCCGGCUAACUUCGUGCCAGCAGCCGCGGUAAUACGAAGGGACCUAGCGUAGUUCGGAAUUACUGGGCUUAAAGAGUUCGUAGGUGGUUGAAAAAGUUAGUGGUGAAAUCCCAGAGCUUAACUCUGGAACUGCCAUUAAAACUUUUCAGCUAGAGUAUGAUAGAGGAAAGCAGAAUUUCUAGUGUAGAGGUGAAAUUCGUAGAUAUUAGAAAGAAUACCAAUUGCGAAGGCAGCUUUCUGGAUCAUUACUGACACUGAGGAACGAAAGCAUGGGUAGCGAAGAGGAUUAGAUACCCUCGUAGUCCAUGCCGUAAACGAUGUGUGUUAGACGUUGGAAAUUUAUUUUCAGUGUCGCAGGGAAACCGAUAAACACACCGCCUGGGGAGUACGACCGCAAGGUUAAAACUCAAAUGAAUUGACGGGGACCCGCACAAGUAGUGGAGCAUGUGGUUUAAUUCGAAGAUACGCGCAGAACCUUACCAACACUUGACAUGUUCGUCGCGACUCUAAGAGAUUAGAGUUUUCGGUUCGGCCGGACGAAACACAGGUGCUGCAUGGCUGUCGUCAGCUCGUGUCGUGAGAUGUUGGGUUAAGUCCCGCAACGAGCGCAACCCUCACUUUUAGUUGCCAUCAUUAAGUUGGGCACUCUGAAAGAACUGCCAGUGAUAAGCUGGAGGAAGGUGGGGAUGACGUCAAGUCCUCAUGGCCCUUACGUGUUGGGCUACACACGUGCUACAAUGGUAUCUACAACAGGAAGCAAGACUGCGAAGUUAAGCAAAUCCCUAAAAGAUACCUCAGUUCGGAUUGCACUCUGCAACUCGAGUGCAUGAAGCUGGAAUUACUAGUAAUCGUGGAUCAGCGUGCCACGGUGAAUGCGUUCCCGGGUCUUGUACACACCGCCCGUCACACCAUGGGAGUUGGUUCUACCUUAAGGCAAGGUUUCAAACCCUUGACCACGGUAUAGUCAGCGACUGGGGUGAAGUCAUAACAAGGUAGCCGUA